rnacentral:lncRNA from 1 species
GGAGGGGGAGGGGAUGGAAGGUUCCGGAGAAGGUGCGGUCGGGGCAGGAGCCAGCUCCGCUCCUCCUUGGCACCGGCUGCUGAUGCCAAGGUUACUCCUCCCCUGGACCCUGGGCUGGCCUUCAGUCUCUGCCCGUGGAGACAGGCCCAGCGUCCCCACUGCCUCCUGACUGCGGUUUCCCGAGGGAGGCCACUAAGCCAAGCCACCCUAACUGGCCAACCCUCAGAAUCGUGAGAAAUAAUAAACCGACAUUUUUCCAAGUUUUAUUUCUAAUUGAGACCUCAUGGUGCAUAUUCGUGGAGCGCUGUGGUAUUCUGACACUGGACGCGAGGCAUCGUGACCACAUCAGGAUGAUCAGCACAGCCAAGUGUUCACCUUUUCUCUGAGUUGGGAACAUUCAAAGGCCUCUCGACUUGCUAAGGCUUUUGUCCUUUAAGUCACCCAUGUGCGGGCUGUUUUGUUACACACCAAAACUCACUGAUACAAACGAAAUCCUCAAGAGAAAAUGGAGGCUCCCGUCUGCGACGUGCUCCACCAAGCGGGAGGCUGAGUUGGUGGCUGUUCAGGCUCCAGAAGCCAGGAUGUCAACUCCCAGCCUGGCAAACCCAGGACCUUGAACCUGCGUCCCUCCCCCGGUUCUGCUCAACUCAAGGUCGUUUCUUGGGAAACUUGUUGAAAUUGUCUCCGUGGUAAACCAGGUUUUGCUCACUACAUUUGAGUCUGAGGCACCAGCAACUGUUUCAAAAAGAGAACGGAGAGGAAGCACACUCCCAGCCGGCUGAGCUGCUGUCCUCAGCAAGCCCGGCUCACAGGGCGGCCUUGGGGGCGCCUGGAGCACCCACUAGCUACUCCCAAGGGAUGAGCGUCCCGGGGCCUGGCCUGUUGGCGUGCGAUGGGGUCAGGCUGGGCACCUGCCCUGCUGCUCUGGGCCGAGAUCUGGGUCUGGUGUGCUCGGGCUUCUCCCCAGGCACUUGGGGACUGGCUGUGUGACCUUUCACUGUCACUGAUCACGGCUCUGAGACCAAAUGCAGGGUCUCCUCAUGGAACCAGGAACCUGGGACCGUCUCCGGGACCCCUGGCUGACCCUGUGUCUGGAGGGCCGCUCAGAGUGGCAGUGUCAUGGUUCCACUCCUGAGACUCUCUCGGCGCCUCCUCUGAGAAGCCUCCCUGGACUUCAUCUCUGCCCCCACUGUCCCCAUGUCCCCGCGGCCUGGUCAUGUUGAACAGCUGGUGUGACUACAGUCUGGGGCCAGGACUCGGUGGGCAGCUGAGAGUUUGGUAGACCCCACACUGGGGAGCCCUGGGGACCUGGGUCAGACCGAGUAGCACUACCUCACUGGGCGAUCUCCUAUCAGCCUUCUUUCUGUCUG